UAUAUUUUAGUGUAUGAUGCACAGUAGUUUUUGAUGCUAUUAGAUUUAGUUUAAUUCUAAAAAAUAUAA
rnacentral:tRNA from 1 species